GAUAGGUCUCAACCACAUGAUUAUUCCCGUUUCUCUUUUUUCAUACUCAUUAAUCCUUAGCCGUUUCUAAAUUCAAUCUUAUCGUCAAUGCGUGAUGCGUUACUCUGGGAAAUCGAUGUUACGGAGUACAUUAAAUAUGAUUCUUGAAGAUUGAAACUAAGGUCUUUCUCACUCUUAUAUUUGUACAUUUCGGCUUAGGGUUGGCCUUCCCAUUCUGGAUCUGCUCUUUCGUUUCCAAAUCAGAAGGUCACCCAAGCUUGAUUGGAAAUUUUGUUGUUCUAUAACUGGAAUUACUCCAAUUUUGUUUCCCUCAAUCUGAAACGAUUGAAACCACGAAACCCAAAAUGAAAAUCAUAAAUGAAAUUUCUAGAAUCCGUAUCUUAAGGAGGAAGAGCAAUGAAGAUGAGUUUGAAGAAGGACGUUGCAGAUCAUCUUGCAGUCUUAACUAAUGCUUAUAUCAGAAAAUCAUAAAUGAAAUUUCUAGAAUCCGUACGCAAUGAAGAUGAGUCUGAAGAAGGACGUUGCAGAUCAUCUUGCAGCCUUAACUAAUGCUUAUAUCAGGACGAGUCUACUUCCAACCACUUUUGUGGAAUCUUCAAGUGAAAGUUGCUCUUUGAGGAGCUAAGAGACCUGCAUUUCAUCACAGUGCAAAAAAAUAAAAGUCAUUUGUAGAGGCUUUAAAAGUUCAAACAUCUUGCUUGACUCCCCAUUCAUAAUGUGGAUUCAUCUCUCACACCUAUGGUUAUUAGUUUUGUGUUUUUAUUCGUAUAUCGAUCUCUGUAUUGCAAUGUUAAAGUCACAUACUUACAACGCAAAGCUUUCAGAUAUUGGGUGCCAAAAAAUGGUCCUACUGGUGAUAAAAGUCACGUGUCUACAAGAGUCAUGGGCACCUGCGGAGUCAUGUGUCUACAAGAUCCCAGGUACUAUAAACCUUCCAUGAACUUCUUUUUACCUGAAAAUUGAGCGUUUGAGUUCCAGUUUGUAUCAAAAUAAAAUAGGCAUAUUAGUGUUUCGAGAGCCUGAAUUUUGAAGAUUUUGGAGUUAACGAAACAAAUAGGUUUUGCGUUGUACUAUGUUUAGUAAUGAUGUAUACUUUCUGAAAUUUUUAUAAAAUUGGCAGUAUAAGUUAUUUCUGAGGUGUAUCGCUUUUACUACUCUUUGUUCUUUGCAUCAGAAAAUUGGGAAUCCUAAGAUGUAUUAUAGUCUGUAAUUCAUGAUUUGUUUUAAGUUUAUAUUAUAUGUAUUAAGUUUAGGGACUCAUAAACUCAAAAUGUUAGAGCGCCCAAGCCUAUCACAAGGUUUGCGGAGGUUGAUGGUUCAAAUCCAUCUGAGUUUCCAUGUUAUGUUUAUUCAAUAUUGGUAGCAUCAUUGGUACUUAGGUGGAUAAUUCAAGUUGUAUGUAUGUACAAACUAGUGCACCUUCUCGUCUCAUGAAUAUAUGGCCUAUUUUUUUGGUAUGAAUGUUGGAUUUUCUGGACUCGUGAAUAUAUUAUAUGUGUUGUGAGUACGAAUGUUAGAUUUGCUAGGCUUUUGUAGAUGUGUACAUAGUUAUACACCAAUUUCUAAUGCUUAUUUUUACACCAUUUUCUAAUGCUUAUCUUGCAGCCUUAACUAAUGCUUAUAUCAGAUAUUGGGUGCCAAAAAAUGGUCCUACUGGUGAUAAAAGUCACAUGUCUACAAGAGUCACGGGGACCUGCGGAGUCAUGUGUCUACAAGAUCCCAGAUACUAUAAACCUUCCAUGAACUUCUUUUUACCUGAAAAUUGAGCGUUUGAGUUCCAGUUUGUAUCAAAAUAAAAUAGGCAUAUUAGUGUUUCGAGAGCCUGAAUUUUGAAGAUCUUGGAGUUAACGAAACAAAUAGGUUUUGCUUUGUACUAUGUUUAGUAAUGAUGUAUACUUUCUGAAAUUUUUAUAAAAUUGGCAGUAUAAGUUAUUUCUGAGGUGUUUCGCUUUUA